AACAUGUCUUUAAGAAAAUAAUUUAAGGUCUAAUCUGCUCCAUGAUUAAUUUUAAAUAGCUGCAGAACUCUAACUGUACAAAGGUAGCAUAAUCAAUAGUUUUUUAAUUAAAAGCUGGAAUGAAUGAUUGGAUAAGGUAAAUAUUGUCUCAAAUUUAAUAAAAUUAAAAUUUUUUUAUUAGUAAAAAUACUAAUAUAAAUUUAAAAGACGAGAAGACCCUAUAGAUUUUAAUAUUUAAAAUUAAAAUAAUAUAAAUUUAACAACAAAUUUUAAUUGAAGAGUAUUUGGUUGGGGAAAUUAUUAAAUUAGAUAAAUUUUAAUAUUUUUAAACAAAAAUUAUUGGAUUUUUGAUCUUAAUUAUUUAGAUUAGAAGAAUAAAAUACCUUAGGGAUAACAGCGUAAUUUUUUUUGAGAGAUCUUAUUGAUAAAAAAGGUUGCGACCUCGAUGUUGAAUUAAGAUUAAAUUUUAAUGAAGAAGUUAAAAAUUUUUGGUCUGUUCGACCAUUAAAAUCUUACGUGAUCUGA
rnacentral:rRNA from 1 species